AGAGUUUGAUCCUGGCUUAGGAUGAACGCUGGCGGCGUGCCUAACACAUGCAAGUCGAACGGAGUAUUUUUACAGAUUUCUCGGAAUUGAAGUAGCUAAUACUUAGUGGCGGACGGGUGAGUAACGCGUGGGUAACCUACCUUAUACAGGGGAAUAACAGCCGGAAACGGUUGCUAAAACCGCAUGAUAUGCGAAUAUCGCAUGAUGAUCGCAUCAAAUAUUUAUAGGUAUGAGAUGGACCCGCGUCUGAUUAGCUAGUUGGUGAGAUAAAAGCUCACCAAGGCGACGAUCAGUAGCCGGCUUGAGAGAGUGACCGGCCACAUUGGGACUGAGACACGGCCCAAACUCCUACGGGAGGCAGCAGUGGGGAAUAUUGCACAAUGGGGGAAACCCUGAAUGCAGCGACGCCGCGUGAGUGAAGAAGUAUUUCGGUAUGUAAAGCUCUAUCAGCAGGGAAGAAAAUGACGGUACCUGACUAAGAAGCCCCGGCUAACUACGUGCCAGCCGCCGC
rnacentral:rRNA from 1 species